ensembl:lncRNA
UCAGCUGAAGAUAUCAUUAUGGGUUGUGAAAGACAGCCUUAGAUAUUAAAAACUUUUACUUCCUUUCACUCACUUCUUUUGUAGAACUCUUCAGUAUUUUAAGAAAAUAAUGCACUGAUAGUAUUACUGUUAAUAUAUUUAUUUGAAUUCUUUUUCAGAAACACCAACCUGAGGUUUAUAUUUUUGUUUGACCUUUUAAACGUCAAUUUGGAGUUUAACACUAUAGCACAUAAAAGCUAUGUGAUUUGGGCACACACUGAUCCAGACCACAUUUUCUACCCAGUUUAAAUAUCAUGCUCAUUGCUGUUUCUAUUUUGCUGUGAUUUGAGAAACAUCAGGUUUCCAUUUCAAUGUUCUUAUAUAUUCUUCAUGACUUAAAAGUAAAAGAACAAUAACUUUAGAGAUUCUUUGAAAAACUGUUUAGUUUGCUUUUCUUAAUUUCAAGGAAUUUCUAAAUUCAUGUUUCUCAUGAGAGAGCAUAUAUUCUGGAUUACAAUACAUCAAAGAAGAAAGUCUUUACUACAUGGGGUGCCCUUGGGUAGCCAGUAAACUCUGUAAAAAUGUUUUAACCUUUGCAGUCCACAGUCUCUGUUGCAACUAGUCAACUAUUUGCACUUCAUGCAACUUUCACUUACCAUGGAUUUAUUCUUUUGAUUUUUAAAUUUCAAGUGGUUAAAAAUGGAAAAAUUAUUCUUAGGCAGUAGGCUAUACAAAACUAGGCUGAGGCUGGAUUUGUCCAUGGGUUGUAGUUUGCUGACCUCUGAUUGGUACACUGGUUAGAAAAUUGAAUCUUGAAGUUAGCCAGUCCUGAGCAGAACUAAAAUUCUAUCAUGUGUUGUGCAGCCUUUGGCAAAGUACCAACCCUCUCAGUAUCUCCAUUUUUAUUGGCACAAUUUCUAUAUAAUAACAUAAUGAUUAAGUACAGUUAAGUUCUUAUUGUGUACUCAUUAAAGUAGCUCCAUUAUUGGGGCUAUAACUUUUUCAAGUAGAGAAGUAAACCUGCCUCACCCUGCUUCAACCUCUAUGUAAACAAACAAUAGUCAACUAUUCUCAUUGGUAAAAUAACAUUUGCCAAACUUGAAGCUUCUUUGUGUCAUUCUCUUUCCUGCUUCGAACAAUGCUGAUUCCUCCAGCUUUAAUUUUGAGGUGUUUUUCUUCCAAUUCCUUACUCAUGUUCUGAAAUUAUUUUAAAUACUCUGAAAUGAUUCAUAAUCCUCUGAAACUCUGACACCAAGAAUGGACUGAAUUUUAAGACUAAGUAUGCAGCCAUGUUCAAAGUCUUUGCAUAACCACAUGAAACAUUUCCAGAACUGCUGGUUGGGAUUUUCUGAAAAUUUAAGCAUCAUAUCCAGUGUUUUUUUUACAGAAAGAAUAUUUUAUGCAGCAGUAUUUUCUAUUUUUAUAUGAAUUCAAAAUCCUGUUGAUACUUCAAAGGAUAUCCUGUUUGAUUUCUUACUUCAACUAGUUACCUCAGUAGUAAGAAUUGUCUUUUUACCUUUAUUUCCUCUUUAUUUUUAAAACUAUAUCUAUAAAUUAUCUUUGCAAGGAUAUCUCAGAUUGUACUUACAUAAUAACAGCUACCUUCUCCUACCCUCCGGCAGCCACAAUGUCUAACAUGUACUAAUCUUUUCUUUGUCUCUAUAAUUUUGUCAAGUCAAGAAUGUUAUGUAAAUGGAAUCAUACAAUAUGUAACUUUUUCUCAUUUCCUUUUAUUGAGUAUAAUUCCUGUGAGAUUUAUCUGAGUUAUGGUGUGGUGUAGCAUGUUGCUUUUUUAUUGCUAGAUAGAGUUCCAAGGUAUGGAUGUACCACAGUUUAUCCAUAUGGUUGAAGAACAUCUAAAUUGUUUCUAAUUUUGAGCUAUUAUGAAUAAAGCUACUGUGAACAUUUAUAUAUAGGUUUUUUCUGUAUCACUUCACAUUCCCACCAGCAACAUAUGAGUGAUCAACUUUCCUCUCAGCCUAUCAGCAUUUGACUUUUCUCACUAUUUUCUAAUUUUAGCCAUUUUGAUACUUGCAUAGUAAUAUCUCAUUGUAGUUUUAAAUUUAAUUUCUCUAAUAGCUCGUGAUAUUGAAUAUUUUUCAUGUGCUUAUUUGCUAUCUGUAAUAUCAUCAUCAAUUAUGAAUUCAAUUUCUUUAAUGGUUAUAGGACUAUUCAAAUGAUCAAUUUCAUUUUUUGAUGAGUUUUGUACUUUUUUUGGCUUAUAAUAAAUUGGUCCAUUUACAAUCUAAGUUGAAUUUAUGACCAUAAGUUAUUCAUAGUAUUCCUUUCUUAUUUUUUUAUUGGCUAUAGGAACAGUAGUUACAUCCCAUAUAUGUGUAAUUUGUUUCUUAUUUUUAUUAAUCCUGCUAGAAAUCCAUCAAUUUUAUUUUCAAAGAAGCAACUUUUUUGUUUCAUUGUUUUUCUCUAUUAUUUUCUGAUUUUCAAUAUCACUGAUUUCUUCUCUUUUCCUCAUUACUUUUUGACUGCUUUGCAUUUAUUUAACUCUUAGAUUUCUAAUUUUUUGAGUUUAUAAUUUAGAUGAUUUGAGAGCUUUGUAUUUUUUUAACAUAAAUAUUUUGUGCUGUAAAUUUUUAUCUCAGAACAGUUUUAUCUGCAUCACACAUAUCCUAACACUUCUAUCACAUCACAUAAUUAUCAUUUCUUUUUUGUGAUGAGAACAUUUAAGAUCUAGUCUCUGGGCAUCUUUGAAAUAUAUAAUACAGGGAGUUCCCAUCAUGGCACAGUGGUUAACGAAUCCGACUAGGAACCAUGAGGUUGCGGGUUCGGUUCCUGCCCUUGCUCAGUGGGUUAAUGAUCUGGCGUUGCCGUGAGCUGUGGUGUAGGUUGCAGACGCGGCUCGGAUCCCACGUUGCUAUGGCUCUGGCAUAGGCCGGCGGCUACAGCUCCGAUUCGACCCCUAGCCUGGGAACCUCCAUAUGCCGCGGGAGCGGCCCAAAAAAAUAGCAACAAGACAAAAAAAAAAACAAAAAA